rnacentral:lncRNA from 1 species
UUUUUUUUCUAUUUCUUCUCCUAUAACUUUAUCUUCUCUAAUUCUUCUCUAUUAAAUUCGACCAUAUCAGAAAACUGAUUCGAUUUACUCUGAACUAUAGAAAGGUUGUUUGAAUUGGUUGUGUCUCGAAUCUCUCUGGCUCAUUGAACUUGAAAAUUACAAUACUUUGAUAAAUUCAAAUAUAUGUUCUGAGCAUGGCCUUAUAUGUGUAUGUACAAGUAAUGAGUGGUUUUGGUUUUUCAUUUCUAUAGAAUCGUGAUCAUCUACAUUAUAUACUCUUGUUUCUGCUGGAAAGUGUUGUCUAAAUUUUAGUAACCUGCAGUUACUAUUUAUAAUCUGGGACCGAAUGUGGUGUUGACUCACUAAAAU